UUACUUCACAUCUCGUGCUUUUUUAUCUGAUUCUUUUUCAUAGCUUAAAAUUCUGCUUUGUCCAGAGAUGAAUUGUGUCUUUUUGUCUGAAGUAGUUAUUUGGUUUUGUCUACGCUUUGUUAUUUCUUUGGUUGUUUGUUGACUCUUAUCUUUGUGUGAUAUCAUAGGAAGGCUAAGGCAAUUAGAGGACGUGUAUAACAAAAUUGUUAUACCUCUGUGGUGUACAAUGUUUUGUACAUUAUCGAAAUUUCUUUACAUUCCUUACAUAAUAGUUUUGCAGAAGCAUUGUUAUGAAAUGUGCUUUAACUUUAGCGCUGGAGAUUUUAAAAUUAGAUGCAUGAGAACCACUAUGGAUUGACCUAAUUGUGUUGAGGCAUGUGAGAAAAAUGAAGGAACGUGGGGAGAUUAGGUUCAAACUUCAUAAUGGCCACCUACCUAAGACAAAAUCCUACAAGUCUUUUGAUAACAAAAUGUUGUAGAGCCAAAACCACUGUCCAGCUCUUAUGUGGAGCUUGUGGGUGCAAAGGAGUAGGAGAAUUUUCAAAGAUAAGUUUUAUUUCCUUGAUUUACUUUUGUGCUGAUUUCAGUUAAAUACUUCUUCGUGGUGUUAUAACUAUUGUAAAUUCUUUUGUAAUGUUCCUAUUUCCUUGAUUCUUGUGGAUUGCAAUCUAUUUGUAACUUGUAAGUAGUUCCUUGAGGAGGGCUUUCCCACCACCCAAUCCUUAGGAUGUUGGGUUUUGCCUUUUUGAAUGAAUACUACCCCCCCCCCCCCCCCCCCCCCCCC